GAUAAAUGAGAAUAGAAUUUGCAUGGUAUAAUUAACAAUCCCAAAAUCUUUCUAUAAAUGAUCCAGUUACCGUUAUCCAUAUUGUACCUAUGUGCAUGCAUCCGAAAUCAGUAUACAUAAAACACACACACACAUAUACUGAGUAAACAAUGAUCUGACAUUUUCCACUUGACAAGUGAAAAGCUUACUUGCUCAAAGGCAACAACAUAACAGUUGUACAAAUAUAUGGGACCACCACUCUAAAUUUUUCAUCCAUCUCCUACAUUCAUCACUUCAUAAGUUCUAAGUCAUCUAGACUGCCACCGAUGUUCUCACCAUCAAUGUUGCAUACAAUGUUGCCAUUGUUGUGGUUGUCCAUAGCACCAUCCUCCAAGCUAACAUGAGAUGAAUAGGUGUUUCCCUGCGAAUUCAGGACAACAUUAGGGAGAACUAAUAUUGAAAAGUCAAGAUAAGAUGAGCAACAUCAGGUAGAUAUCAAAAUCAAUAGAAGUUGCAUUAUAGUGUGCAUACUAUGGUCCAUACCUACAACAUUGAUGAUCUCAUUGAUGUUAGCAUCAACACAUUAUGUAUUAAGGUGAUUAAGAACAUAAUAUGCCCUGCUUGUUGACAAUUUAAAUACCAUGACACUUCAUUGAUAAAAACACUCAGGCCAAUCAAGAAAUACAGAAGAAAAAAGAAUGCCCACUCAGUAUUUUCUUUGUAAAUUUGAGAUAUGGCAUAUGGAAGCACAAUAAUCAUUGGAUGUUAUACUAUACUGUAGUGCUUUUAGGGAAAAUGAAUAGGAGUAACUAACACUAAAAAUGCACCAGUAGCUUUAAGUUGGACCUUACAUCCAUUAGGAGGCAUUCUUAAUGAGGUCUCGGCCUUCUUUGUACUCCCCUCAUCGUCAAUAAGUAAUGCAUUAAAUAAGUGAUGGGAAUAUAACAUAAUAAGGUAAGAACCAAGACACCUAGUAUUUGUGAGAUAAUCACCUCAUCAAGACAAGCACAUACACCGCCUUAGUGUGAGAGGUACAUGAGAUAGGUUCUCAUUUGCAUGCUGCAACUUCUUUGCCCAUCAAUUUUGACCACAUAACUUACCUACAUCCAGACGCUUUCAUCAUUUGUACCAGAAAGCUUGUUUUACCACUAGUCCAUGACGCCUUACCCUUUUUACUCCUAAAAUAAACAGGAAAGAAUUACUUCAUAUACACAUUCUCAUGAACCAUCAAUCUGAUAGUGUAAUCAAUAACUUGGUAGAUAGCCGAAAGACAUAGAUAGCAAGUAAGAAAAAAAUGCAACAGUCAUCACUUCCAUCAAGGAUAUUAUUUUCAGUUUUUAGUUCUAAUCUACGAUAAUAAUAGCCAAUGGAGUAAGUCAGUUUGUUGAGUUCCACAAGCAAAAUCAGCUUGUGUUCUUUUGAAACAAGCAAAUUGCGUGAAGUUAAUUCUUUUGGAGGGUACAACCAUCUCAAGUUGAAAAGUGCCUCUCUUUUUUUGGUCAACACAAACUGUGUUGCAUAUUCAUUGAUAGGAUAGGAGAUAUAAAACAAAAAAGCAAGCAAUCAAGCCUCAGGUUGUGGCAUCUGCCUGGGUCAACUACAAGACACUAGCAAGCAAAUAUAAACACACAACAUUCGGAUUUGUAUGCUAUGAAUCAGUUCAGCAAGCAUGUACCUUCCUUUUCUCCAAUAGCAUCUUCAGGUUCCCCAAAGCAGAGAACAAGCGAAGGAGACAACAAGGCCGAGAGUUCUGACAAAAGCAGAGAGUUCCUUAAGUCUCAGAGAGUUCCUAAAAGCACAUAACUAUAAUGAUAAAUGAGAGUACUAAUAGUACACCUAACAGUAGCAUCUAAAAAUUAAGAUACAAGAGAAAACAAAGAUCUUUCUUGCAAAAUGAAAACUAAAUAAAUUAAUACACUCCAAACAAAUGCAAAGGGCCCUUAUUUUCUCACCCAUACGGCUAAUCUAUCAAGCAAUGAGCCACACAAAAAGUAAAUCAAGAUCCUGCCGCCCAAAGAC
rnacentral:lncRNA from 1 species